UCCUGGAGCGGCCGAUAUCUGAUUAGCUAGUUGGUGGGGUAAAGGCCUACCAAGGCAUCGAUCAGUAGCUGGUCUGAGAGGACGACCAGCCACACUGGAACUGAGACACGGUCCAGACUCCUACGGGAGGCAGCAGUGGGGAAUUUUGGACAAUGGGCGCAAGCCUGAUCCAGCAAUGCCGCGUGAGUGAAGAAGGCCUUCGGGUUGUAAAGCUCUUUUGUCAGGGAAGAAACGGGUGUGGCUAAUAUCCUCACCUAAUGACGGUACCUGAAGAAUAAGCACCGGCUAACUACGUGCCAGCAGCCGCGGUAAUACGUAGGGUGCAAGCGUUAAUCGGAAUUACUGGGCGUAAAGCGUGCGCAGGCGGUUUUGUAAGUUUGUCGUGAAAUCCCCGGGCUCAACCUGGGAAUUGCGAUGAAGACUGCAAGGCUAGAAUCUGGCAGAGGGGGGUAGAAUUCCACGUGUAGCAGUGAAAUGCGUAG
rnacentral:rRNA from 1 species